rnacentral:rRNA from 1 species
GAGUUUGAUUAUGGCUCAGGAUGAACGCUAGCGGCAGGUCUAACACAUGCAAGUCGAGGGGUAGGGUGCUUCGGCACUUGAGACCGGCGCACGGGUGCGUAACACGUGUACAAUCUACCUUUUGCUAAGGGAUAGCCCGAAGAAAUUUGGAUUAAUACCUUAUAGUAUUGUUUGGUGGCAUCACUAAAUAAUUAAAGCUCUGGUGGCAAAAGAUGAGUACGCGUUCCAUUAGCUAGUUGGUGUGGUAACGGCAUACCAAGGCUACGAUGGGUAGGGGUCCUGAGAGGGAGGUCCCCCACACUGGUACUGAGACACGGACCAGACUCCUACGGGAGGCAGCAGUGAGGAAUAUUGGACAAUGGUCGGAAGACUGAUCCAGCCAUGCCGCGUGCAGGAUGACGGCCUUAUGGGUUGUAAACUGCUUUUAUACAGGAAGAAUAAGGUCUACGUGUAGA